rnacentral:misc_RNA from 1 species
UGGACUACGGGGGUAUCUAAUCCUGUUUGCUCCCCACGCUUUCGCACAUGAGCGUCAAUGCCAGACCAGGUAGUCGCCUUCGCCACUGGUGUUCUUCCAAAUAUCUACGAAUUUCACCUCUACACUUGGAAUUCCACUACCCUCUUCUGGAUUCUAGCUCGACAGUCUUAAAAGCAAUUCCCAGGUUAAGCCCGGGGCUUUCACUUCUAAUUUAUCGAGCCGCCUGCGUGCGCUUUACGCCCAGUAAUUCCGAACAACGCUAGCCCCCUUCGUAUUACCGCGGCGGCUGACAC